rnacentral:rRNA from 1 species
GACAGAGGGUGCAAACGUUGAUCGGAAUUACUGGGCGUAAAGCGAGUGUAGGCGGUUUGGUAAGUCGGAUGUGAAAGCCCCGGGCUCAACCCGGGAAGUGCACUCGAUACUGCCAAGCUAGAGUAUCGGAGAGGUUGGUGGAAUUCUCGAUGUAGAGGUGAAAUUCGUAGAUAUCGAGAGGAACACCGGUGGCGAAGGCGGCCAACUGGACGAAUACUGACGCUGAGACUCGAAAGCGUGGGGAGCAAACAGG